CACACAUUUACUGAGCUUCUGUUACGUGCCUGUGGUUCUUGGAAAGAGCUUUUUCCUUCUCUACAAGGAGGAAUCUGAUGCAACUGACAUCCUCAAUAGCUACAGAGAACUUGCAAAGGAGUAGAGAGAAUGUUUGAGGUCCAGCCUUGGUGUAGAGAAGCGGCAGAAACAGAAAUCCCAAAAGGUGUCAUGCUUGGCUCCAGCUCUGUGCUCUCAGAACUCCCUUCCCUCUGGGCAGAGGCCCAUCUGCUCUGUUUACACACCUGGACCUGGUGUGAAGGGAGGUUUGGAGGAGGGUAGCUCCCUGACCAUUUGUGGAAUCGUUCCUGCUUCCAAG
rnacentral:lncRNA from 1 species